rnacentral:misc_RNA from 1 species
CCCAACUAUCCCUAUUAAUCAUUACGUCAAUCCUAGAAACCAACAAAAUAGGAUUAACGUCCUAUUUCAUUAUUCCAUGCUAAUGUAUUCAAGCGUGAGCCUGCUUUAAACACUCUAAUUUUUUCAAAGUAACAGUCCUGACUCCCCACCACAACAAAUUAAUAACAUGAUGGUUUGUCAGAAGGUAAGAAUCAGUAACACCAGUACGUACCAAAGGUACAACUAACGUACUAAUCCUGAAAUUCAACUACGAGCUUUUUAACUGCAACAACUUUAAUAUACGCUAUUGGAGCUGGAAUUACCGCGGCUGCUGGCACCAGACUUGCCCUC